rnacentral:rRNA from 1 species
UACGAAGGGGCUAGCGUUGUUCGGAUUUACUGGGCGUAAAGCGCACGUAGGCGGAUUGUUAAGUCAGGGGUGAAAUCCUGGAGCUCAACUCCAGAACUGCCUUUGAUACUGGCAAUCUUGAGUCCGGAAGAGGUGAGUGGAACUCCUAGUGUAGAGGUGGAAUUCGUAGAUAUUAGGAAGAACACCAGUGGCGAAGGCGGCUCACUGGUCCGGUACUGACGCUGAGGUGCGAAAGCGUGGGGAGCAAACAGGGAUU